rnacentral:lncRNA from 1 species
UGAGCUGCUCGCCUUUUGUUUGGCUUUGCUGCCAUUGACGAGUUGUCUGAAAGUAACUGAUUGUAUGGACUGGAGCAGAGUGGGAACCAGGCCAACGGCCGGAGCCAAGAACUCCAGAAAACAGCGUCUUUUGUUACUCACCUUGCACCUUUAAAACCUUGUCAAUCUGUUGAAGACUGCACCUGUCCUGGACCAGCGUUUUCAACAAAUAACUGAUCACACAGAGGAAAUUUGACGCCCUGACGUGUGCACCACCACAACAACCUGCUGCUCCACCUUCUAGAUUUGAGCCCACACAGCCUGACUUCUCACCCCCUGACGGACCUGCUCCAGCUGAACGCCCUCUGCAGACCGCCUCUCGGAAACCUGCCCCACGCCUGCCUUCUACGUGAACGUGGAUGUACUAUUCUCGGUGAUCCAGGGGACUCCAGGUACUGGCUUUGAAUCCAGGCAUCUUGGGAUGGUCCCUUCUAACCAACAUGCUGGCUGCUUGGUCAAUCCCUUUUAUUGUGGGACUUGAGCUGACUGCCUGUGGGGAUUUCUCCAGCAGGGCCCUGCCUUCCAGAC